GACGAACGCUGGCGGCGUGCCUAAUACAUGCAAGUAGAACGCUGAAGAGAGGAGCUUGCUCUUCUUGGGUGAGUUGCGAACGGGUGAGUAACGCGUAGGUAACCUGCCUUGUAGCGGGGGAUAACUAUUGGAAACGAUAGCUAAUACCGCAUAACAAUGGAUGACACAUGUCAUUUAUUUGAAAGGGGCAAUUGUUCCACUACAAGAUGGACCUGCGUUGUAUUAGCUAGUAGGUGAGGUAAUGGCUCACCUAGGCGACGAUACAUAGCCGACCUGAGAGGGUGAUCGGCCACACUGGGACUGAGACACGGCCCAGACUCCUACGGGAGGCAGCAGUAGGGAAUCUUCGGCAAUGGGGGCAACCCUGACCGAGCAACGCCGCGUGAGUGAAGAAGGUUUUCGGAUCGUAAAGCUCUGUUGUAAGUCAAGAACGGGUGUGAGAGUGGAAAGUUCACACUGUGACGGUAGCUUACCAGAAAGGGACGGCUAACUACGUG
rnacentral:rRNA from 1 species